GGCCAGCACGAGUACGCGCGACGCGCGCGUUGUCACGAAGACACCCGAAGACAAUGACUUAUCGAAAGAAGUUCAAGCAAUUUAACAAUAAAAACAACACCGUAUCUAGUUAAAUUAAAAGAUAAGUUUGCUAGUUGCCAAAUAUACCAACGUACUGCUGCGAGAGCCAUCUACUGCUGUAUUAGUACACUUACGAAGGUUUAACAAGUUACAUACUUAUUGUAAUUUAGAGAAAAACCUUAAAAUAAUUUAUUAUAAUAAUUGUACUAUGUAGUAACGUGGAAUUAUUAUUAAAUUAAUUAAAAUAGUA